CCCGAGCAGCUGCAAUUAUAAAAGAUAAACAAUGCCGUGUAGUACCAUUUUUAAAAUAAAUGAUCGAAUUGUAUUUUGAAAAAAAGUUAUGCCAGAUUCCGUGUUUGUAUCUGUUUUCAUCCAGAUGGAAUUUUAAAUAGUUUGCAAAGUUUGGAAAAGGAAUUGAAUUCCGGCUGUGCAAUAGCUAACUCUCAAUUCAUGACGGUUGAAUCAAGAAUGUUAACCUUCAAAAACACCACCCGUCCCUUUUCACAAACACCAGAGGCGUUGGCAGCAGCAGGGUUAUAUUUUACAGGUCCUGGAGAUAUGGUGCUGUGUUUUUUGUGUCAAGGAGGUUUAUCCGACUGGAAAGAAAAUGAUAACCCGUGGACAGAGCAUUGCAAAUGGUUUCCUGCAUGUGCAUUUGCUCGAGAAAUUAAAGGGGAAUCAUUUAUUCAAGAAAAUCAGCAAGAACUAUCCGCUUCACAUUCGCAAGAAAAAAGUAUCCCCAAUGAUCUGGAUCUAAGAGGUAGAGUUGAGUACUUGAAGAGCAUGGGAUUCAGUGACGAUCACACUCAUAUAGCUGUGCGUCAUCUAAACCAAAAAGGAAACAUCAAUCCCAGCAUAGAGGAUCUCAUCGACUGUAUUGUAUUAUUUCAAGGUAUCAAUAUUGAAAUAAAAUGUACAGUUUUAUGCCAGUUUUACAUCAUUUUGAUAUUCGUGUUAUGGUUACCUCUAAUAAGGCGGUACGCUUAAUUUUUCAUGGCGUAUCUUUUAUGUUCGUUUUACAAUAUGUACACAAUACUAAUACUUUUCCACUUAAUAAACAUGAUGCAGUUUGUUUUGUUCGUGAACAUAUUGUGUAUGGACAAGUGAUGUAAACGGAUGACAUAGGGUCGAACAGCUCUUACAAUGCUAUGAUAUUUCAAAAAAAAAAUAUUUGAAGAAAAUGCAAGUCUUCGGACCAUACUCAAAUAUACGAAAUGCAGACAGAACAACCGAAAUGUUUUGUUUCUGCCAUGCUGUCAUUUGAUGUUGUGUAUGUGUUGUGCCCGAGGAAUACGUUUUUGCCCAUCUUGCAACGAAUCGAUAACGGAGACAAAAGAAACAUGCUUUUCUGAGUCACUGCCUUGUAUGAUGAAAGAAAACGCACGUUUGAAAGAUAUAGUAUAUUGUUACAAAUGUAAAACGAGCGAGUCGAACGCAAUGUUUUUUCCAUGUGCACACCACCGAUUUUGUAUGGACUGUGCACAUGACAAGAAGCGCUGUGAAGUUUGUGGAAAAAACAUACAAAAAACUAUGAAAACAUACAGGUCAUAAGGUACACGCAGUAAUUUGAGAAAAGCUUUUCCAAAAAACUGUUGCAUUUAACAGAAUUGUGAUUUUUCAAAGUGAUAAUAUUAAUUUUCAUAGUCUGCUCAAGCAUGUAGGAAUACAAUUCCUAUACACCACCUAUUGUGACCUUAAUCAGUUAAAUUUGCUACUCGUGUAUCGUACCAAAGUGUUCUUCCUAUGGUAAUUCUUAGUAUGUACGUUUUGCUGCUUAUAAAUGUUAUUCUUGCUUAUCAUACAUGCUUUUAUUUAUCAUAUAUGCGAUAUUAAUAAAGGUCAAGGCUUUGCACUUAAAGCUGAUAAUCCAGACGGCACAGGGUAGGUAAGGAAUACAUCUUUUUUUUACUUACGAAAUCAGAAUAAUUUGUUAGUCAGUAUUGAUUCCAGCACAGUAUUCGUUAACUGUAUUUUUGAAAUCCUUUAUGCAAUUCCAUGUUGUCUAUUGCAUUAAGGAUUAAUAAUUAAAUACACAAAAUAAGUUUGUAAUUCGAAACAAGUUGAAACGGAAUAUCAUUUUGUUCUUAUCUGUCCAAUGUUUAAGGAUUUUAAGGCACGAUUUAUUCCGAGAAUAUUUCGGUUAAAUCCCAAUAUGAUGAAAUUUUAAAAUUUAAUGAUGAAACUCCAGCUGCUGGAGCAGUAUUGCAUUCCCAUUAUAUACAAUGAGUUGGUCCUUUUCUUAAGGUAAAUGACCAAUUGCAAAAACAGUACUAAACAGCACAAUAGAAAACAACAUAAACAUAUAUAAGAAUAAAGCUGGGGUUAUUGCAUCGGAACGGUCAAUGCGAAGCAUUGGUGGUUUAAACCUGUUUUAGAGCGCUCAACCUCACACUUGGCCCAGCAAUAUUCAUGAUACUUAUAAGUGCAAAUAAAAUUUAACCUCAUAGCAUUGCAACUCAUAUUAAACAAAAAUAAAAGGAAAUUUAAACGCAUUCAAUUAAAUUUCCAUUUAAAUACUCAAUGGUAGGAAAGAGACCAGAGCAAUAGAGUAACAACUUUUUGAGGAACGAUGAAAUGAAAUUACGAACAUGUGUCAACUACAUCCCUUCCUUUUAGAAAAAGAUUUAGGAAUAUAGCAUCAUAAAGUUAAUGUUUCAAAUUAUCCUCGCGCAAAUACAGGAAGGAAUUGCAAUAAUAUGUGUAAAAGGUCCAUAUUACAUAGCUUGGUUGUUUAUGUGACUGCUAAAUAAAUAAAUAAAUAAAUCAAACAAGAAACGCCUGUCAGAGAGAAAAUAUUAAUAAAGUUUAACGCUAUUAACCCGAUGACCUAUGCUUGUAGCCUAAAACAGUGAACGUGUGUCAACUCAAAAUGAAACAUAUAAUAAGGGCCUAGCAUUGGAUAAUAACCUUGCAUUAGUUAGACGGAAGGAGUUACUUACGUUGUAGGGUAGCUAAUACUACCUUUUCCAAUAUGUUAAAUCUAAACCAAUUCAUGCUUAAUUUUAUGCGCACACAUGCUUGUGUAUAUA